rnacentral:snoRNA from 1 species
UAGCUAGGAUUACAGGUGUGAACCACCGGCACCCGGCUUUAAGAUUGUUUCUUAACUAUACCUGUCUGCUAUACCUCUGUAGCAGCCAGGGAUGCUUGGUCUCAUAUAU